rnacentral:lncRNA from 1 species
AUGCCCGGCGCGCAAGCCGGGCGCCCCAGGACCGCUUGGCACCGGCGCGUCCUGCCGGGACCCCAGGGGUCUCCUCCGCGGCUCUCCAAGGCGGCGUCCCGCAGGCCCUUGUGUUCCUCUGCUUCGCGCUCUCCGCUCGCUGCCCAUCCCUCUGACUCGGUUUCCCUCUCGCCCCCGGCCUCCGUGCUCCGCCGUCUCCUCCCUCCUGGGCUGUUUAUAUCGCCCUCGGCCUCCCUUUCUCGGGCUCGCGCUCUCUGCUUCGGAGGAAGAGAGAAACAGCGAAAAGCAGUUUCUUUCUCCUUGGGGUCCGACUCGGUCCCCGCGCUCGGUUCUCUGUCCCUUCCUCCCUCCAUCGCUCCCCUCCGCCCGCCUUCCUUUGUUCCCGGGUGCAAGGAGUGCGCGGCACAAACUUGCGAGUCCGCGUCCUUCUCUCUUCGCCCCCGCAGGGCCGUGGACCGAGGCGGCGGAGUUCCCGCUGCCCACAAGUCGGGCUCGACCUUCUGGUUCGGGGGGCCGUGGGCGGGAGCAUCCGGGGCGCCCCACAGCCCGGAGCUCCCGGCCUGGGGUCCCCAGCCCUCAGGCCCGGGUCUCAGAAAGUGGAUGAGAGUCUGGAGCUGGGAGAUAAAGGACACAUUGGAGGGGGAGGAGCGAGACUGGGAGAGACCCCAGGCUCCAGGCUUCGGGGUGUGGGGCGAGGCAGAAAUCGACGCCGCGCCAAGCCCCCGUUGUUGGGAGGGGCGAGGAGGGGAAGCGCAGGUGGAGACAGACGCCCCCUGGUCUCCCGUAAGUCGCGCCCUUAGCAGGAAGGGGGCGGUGUGGGCCAUUGGCCUGGCGCUGGGUGGGCUGGGGCCCCCUGCCGUGGGCAGAACAGUCACACCCACUCCUGGGGGUCUGCAAAGGAAUGGCCAGAACGCCGCGCCCAGCCCCCGCGCGCCCCCCAGGGUCCGGCGCUCCACCCUCCCCUGCCCCCACCCCUUCCGGGGCUCCCGCCGCCUCCUGGCGGCCGUGGGGGAGCGGGUUUUUCCGCGGGGGCGACGGAGGCGGGGGCUGAAAAUCCCCAGGUUCCUCCGAAGCCCAGCGCGGUCGGCCAAGGCCGCCCCAGCGCCCCGCGCUUCCUGGCUGAUUUCCUGCAGACCAACUUCUCCCGGGGGGGGGGGGGGGGCCGGCCUGCGGGGAGAGGGCCCCGGGGGGCAGGGAUGGCCACCCCGGCUGCGCGGCUCCCUGGAUCUCCACCCCUGGCUGCCUGUGCAGAGGGGACCACGACCCUCUCUUCCUGCAGCCCGCGGAUACCAGGGACACCGGGUGGGGCGGGAGGAAUUGUUGGAGGGCCAGGAGGGCGCGCUGUCCGUUCCUUAG